UACGUAGGGUGCGAGCGUUGUCCGGAAUUACUGGGCGUAAAGAGCUCGUAGGUGGUUUGUCGCGUUGGUCGUGAAAUCUCACGGCUUAACUGUGAGCGUGCGGGCGAUACGGGCAGACUAGAGUCCGGAAGAGGAGAGUGGAAUUCCUGGUGUAGCGGUGAAAUGCGCAGAUAUCAGGAAGAACACCCGUGGCUAAGGCGGCUCACUGGCCCGAUACUGACGCUGAGGCACGAAAGCGUGGGGAGCAAACAGG
rnacentral:rRNA from 1 species